UACGGAGGGUGCGAGCGUUGUCCGGAAUCACUGGGCGUAAAGGGCGCGUAGGCGGCCUGAUAAGUAGGGGGUGAAAUCCUGCGGCUUAACCGCAGGGCUGCCUUCUAAACUGUCAGGCUGGAGCACAGUAGAGGCAGGUGGAAUUCCCGGUGUAGCGGUGGAAUGCGUAGGGAUCGGGAAGAACAUCAGUGGCGAAGGCGGCAUCCUGGCCCUGUCCUGACGCUCAGGGGCGAAAGCGUGGGGAGCAAACCGG
rnacentral:rRNA from 1 species